rnacentral:tRNA from 1 species
GUUGUGGCUCAGUGGUAGAGUGCUCGCCUAGCAUGUGCAAGGCCCUGGGUUCGAUCCUCAGCACCACA